AACCCGUGGUGAGGGCACCUUCUCAAUAAAUCCUUAUACCUCUCUCAGGCAUCAUAUAGGGUUUCUAAUUCCAUCUGUACGAAGAAAGAGAUAUCAUUCCUCAACUU
rnacentral:snoRNA from 1 species